rnacentral:rRNA from 1 species
UACAAUGCUGGCAACAGCGAUAAGGGAACCUCGAGUGCCAGGUUACAAAUCUGGCUGUCGAGAUGCCUAAAAAGCAUUUCAUAGCAAGGGCCGGGCAAGACCGGUGCCAGCCGCCGCGGUAACACCGGCGGCUCGAGUGGUAACCGUUAUUAUUGGGUCUAAAGGGUCUGUAGCCGGCCGGAUAAGUCUCUUGAGAAAUCUGGCAGCUUAACUGUCAGGCUUUCAGGAGAUACUGUCUGGCUCGAGGCCGGGAGAGGUGAGAGGUACUUCAGGGGUAGGGGUGAAAUCUUGUAAUCCUUGAAGGACCACCAGUGGCGAAGGCGUCUCACCAGAACGGACCUGACGGCAAGGGACGAAAGCUAGGGGCACGAACCGGAUUAGAUACCCGGGUAGUCCUAGCCGUAAACGAUACUCGCUAGGUGUCGGCCACGGUGCGACCGUUGUCGGUGCCGUAGGGAAGCCGUGAAGCGAGC